CCCGACGACAAUAGUGCGGUUGUCCCACCUGAAUCCAUCCCGAACUCAGAAGUGAAAAGCCGUUACGUCGAUGGUAGUGUGGGGCUUCCCCAUGUGAGAGUAGAGCAUCGUCGGGU
rfam:Actinobacillus pleuropneumoniae L20 serotype 5b complete genome.